AGUGAACGCUGGCGGUAGGCCUAACACAUGCAAGUCGAACGGCAGCACAGUAAGAGCUUGCUCUUACGGGUGGCGAGUGGCGGACGGGUGAGGAAUACAUCGGAAUCUACUUUUUCGUGGGGGAUAACGUAGGGAAACUUACGCUAAUACCGCAUACGACCUACGGGUGAAAGCAGGGGAUCUUCGGACCUUGCGCGAUUGAAUGAGCCGAUGUCGGAUUAGCUGGUUGGCGGGGUAAAGGCCCACCAAGGCGACGAUCCGUAGCUGGUCUGAGAGGAUGAUCAGCCACACUGGAACUGAGACACGGUCCAGACUACUACGGGAGGCAGCAGUGGGGAAUAUUGGACAAUGGGCGCAAGCCUGACCCAGCCAUACCGCGUGGGUGAAGAAGGCCUUCGGGUUGUAAAGCCCUUUUGUUGGGAAAGAAAAGCAGCAGGUUAAUACCCCGCUGUUCUGACGGUACCCAAAGAAUAAGCACCGGCUAACUUCGUG
rnacentral:rRNA from 1 species